CCUACGGGAGGCAGCAGUAAGGAAUAUUGGUCAAUGGACGCAAGUCUGAACCAGCCAUGCCGCGUGAAGGAUGAAGGCCUCUGGGUUGUAAACUUCUUUUACAGGGGACGCGGUACCCUGGGAAUAAGCACCGGCUAACUCCGUGCCAGCAGCCGCGGUAAUACGGAGGGUGCAAGCGUUAUCCGGAUUCACUGGGUUUAAAGGGUGCGUAGGUGGGUCUGUAAGUCAGUGGUGAAAUCUCCGGGCUUAACCCGGAAACUGCCAUUGAUACUAUAGGUCUUGAAUUAUCUGGAGGUAAGCGGAAUAUGUCAUGUAGCGGUGAAAUGCUUAGAUAUGACAUAGAACACCAAUUGCGAAGGCAGCUUACUACGACGAUUGACACUGAGGCACGAAAGCGUGGGGAUCAAACAGGAUUAGAUACCCUUGUAGUC
rnacentral:rRNA from 1 species